rnacentral:rRNA from 1 species
UGGGGAAUUUUGGACAAUGGGCGCAAGCCUGAUCCAGCCAUGCCGCGUGCGGGAAGAAGGCCUUCGGGUUGUAAACCGCUUUUGUCAGGGAAGAAAUCUUCUGAGUUAAUACCUCGGGAGGAUGACGGUACCUGAAGAAUAAGCACCGGCUAACUACGUGCCAGCAGCCGCGGUAAUACGUAGGGUGCAAGCGUUAAUCGGAAUUACUGGGCGUAAAGCGUGCGCAGGCGGUUUUGUAAGACAGAGGUGAAAUCCCCGGGCUCAACCUGGGAACUGCCUUUGUGACUGCAAGGCUUGAGUGCGGCAGAGGGGGAUGGAAUUCCGCGUGUAGCAGUGAAAUGCGUAGAUAUGCGGAGGAACACCGAUGGCGAAGGCAAUCCCCUGGGCCUGCACUGACGCUCAUGCACGAAAGCGUGGGGAGCAAACAGGAUUAGAUACCCUGGUAGUCCACGCCCUAAACGAUGUCAACUGGUUGUUGGGAAGGUUCCUUCUCAGUAACGUAGCCAACGCGUGAAGUUGACCGCCUGGGGAGUACGGCCGCAAGGUUGAAACUCAAAUGAAUUGACGGGGGU